rnacentral:rRNA from 1 species
CCAGACUCCUACGGGAGGCAGCAGUGGGGAAUAUUGGGCAAUGGGCGCAAGCCUGACCCAGCAACGCCGCGUGAAGGAAGAAGGCUUUCGGGUUGUAAACUUCUUUUCUCAGGGACGAAGCAAGUGACGGUACCUGAGGAAUAAGCCACGGCUAACUACGUGCCAGCAGCCGCGGUAAUACGUAGGUGGCAAGCGUUAUCCGGAUUUACUGGGUGUAAAGGGCGUGUAGGCGGGAAAGCAAGUCAGAUGUGAAAACCAUAGGCUCAACCUGUGGCCUGCAUUUGAAACUGUUUUUCUUGAGUACUGGAGAGGCAGACGGAAUUCCUAGUGUAGCGGUGAAAUGCGUAGAUAUUAGGAGGAACACCAGUGGCGAAGGCGGCUUGCUGGACUGAAACUGACGCUGAGGCUCGAAAGCGUGGGGAGCAAACAGGAUUAGAUACCCGUGUA